rnacentral:rRNA from 1 species
GGAGGCGCGGGAGCUAUAAUGCAGUCGAGCGGACAGAUGGGAGCUUGCUCCCUGAUGUUAGCGGCGGACGGGUGAGUAACACGUGGGUAACCUGCCUGUAAGACUGGGAUAACUCCGGGAAACCGGGGCUAAUACCGGAUGGUUGUUUGAACCGCAUGGUUCAGACAUAAAAGGUGGCUUCGGCUACCACUUACAGAUGGACCCGCGGCGCAUUAGCUAGUUGGUGAGGUAACGGCUCACCAAGGCGACGAUGCGUAGCCGACCUGAGAGGGUGAUCGGCCACACUGGGACUGAGACACGGCCCAGACUCCUACGGGAGGCAGCAGUAGGGAAUCUUCCGCAAUGGACGAAAGUCUGACGGAGCAACGCCGCGUGAGUGAUGAAGGUUUUCGGAUCGUAAAGCUCUGUUGUUAGGGAAGAACAAGUGCCGUUCAAAUAGGGCGGCACCUUGACGGUACCUAACCAGAAAGCCACGGCUAACUACGUGCCAGCAGCCGCGGUAAUACGUAGGUGGCAAGCGUUGUCCGGAAUUAUUGGGCGUAAAGGGCUCGCAGGCGGUUUCUUAAGUCUGAUGUGAAAGCCCCCGGCUCAACCGGGGAGGGUCAUUGGAAACUGGGGAACUUGAGUGCAGAAGAGGAGAGUGGAAUUCCACGUGUAGCGGUGAAAUGCGUAGAGAUGUGGAGGAACACCAGUGGCGAAGGCGACUCUCUGGUCUGUAACUGACGCUGAGGAGCGAAAGCGUGGGGGAGCGAACAGGAUUAGAUACCCUGGUAGUCCACGCCGUAAACGAUGAGUGCUAAGUGUUAGGGGGUUUCCGCCCCUUAGUGCUGCAGCUAACGCAUUAAGCACUCCGCCUGGGGAGUACGGUCGCAAGACUGAAACUCAAAGGAAUUGACGGGGGCCCGCACAAGCGGUGGAGCAUGUGGUUUAAUUCGAAGCAACGCGAAGAACCUUACCAGGUCUUGACAUCCUCUGACAAUCCUAGAGAUAGGGACGUCCCCUUCGGGGGCAGAGUGACAGGUGGUGCAUGGUUGUCGUCAGCUCGUGUCGUGGAGAUGUUGGGUUAAGUCCCGCACCGAGCGCACCCUUGAUCUAGUGCCAGCAUUCAGUUGGCACCUCUUAGGUGACUGCCGUGAAAACCCGAGGAGUGGAAGACUUCAAUCAUCAUGCCCUUAUGACUUGCUACACCGUGCUACAUGGCCAGAACCAGCACGAACGCAGGUUAGCCAUCCACGAUUCCUGUUUCUCCAUGUUCGCGAGAUCUGCA